ensembl:lncRNA
GUGACCAGAAGGGGUGGAGCAAGGAUACACCUCUUCCCAGACCUCAUUUAAGGGUUGGCAGUGGAGGCAAAGGCAUCUGGCUGGAGAUCCCUGUUUACCUGAGUCUUUCUGAAGCAAGGAAGAAACCGGACACGAAGCUACGGACGAGGUCCACAAAUACAAAGGGAAGCUUGGGCUGAGAUGUUGCGAACAUUAGUGCCACCUAUAGGAUUUUCCGGUACAGACAUACCGUUACUUUACCUGGUGACUUGAUACUGAGGAAGUGAACGAGGGGAUGGAGAUAAUCACAAGGGAAACAUCAUGCAAAAUGAUUUAUUUUAGAAAACAAAGACAAUUGUCUAUUUCACAUGCUUACACUGCAGCUAAAGGAAGAUGGGAAACAUCCUGAAAUGAAGUGCAUGAAUUUGUAUUUAAUUAGCCCUUUGCAGCAGGACCAGGUUACAUAUGGAGCUAGGCAAGCUCAAUGCCACCAGAAAUGAGAACAAAAGUGCUGCCAGAUGGAAAACCAAGGAAAAUUAAAUUGAUUUUAUGCAUGAAAAAAAAUAUUCAAUAAGUAAAACAUAUAGAAUACAUGGAUUUCAACUCCUUUUUUUCA